rnacentral:rRNA from 1 species
AACGAACGCUGGCGGCAUGCCUAACACAUGCAAGUCGAACGAGACCUUCGGGUCUAGUGGCGCACGGGUGCGUAACGCGUGGGAACCUGCCUUUAGGUUCGGAAUAACUCAGAGAAAUUUGAGCUAAUACCGGAUGAUGUCUUCGGACCAAAGAUUUAUCGCCUUUAGAUGGGCCCGCGUUGGAUUAGCUAGUUGGUGGGGUAAAGGCCUACCAAGGCGACGAUCCAUAGCUGGUCUGAGAGGAUGAUCAGCCACACUGGGACUGAGACACGGCCCAGACUCCUACGGGAGGCAGCAGUGGGGAAUAUUGGACAAGGGGCGAAAGCCUGAUCCAGCAAUGCCGCGUGAGUGAUGAAGGCCUUAGGGUUGUAAAGCUCUUUGACCCGAGAUGAUAAUGACAGUAUCGGGAGAAUAAGCUCCGGCUAACUCCGUG